GGAGGCCCCAGAACACUCUCUCCCUCCAUGUCCCCACUCACUCCUUUAACCCAAGCUUGUCAGAGGUCCUGUCAGAGGAGGUGGAGGUGAGGGGCGGGAGGCUCCCCCAUUAGAGGUCAGAGCCCCCAGCCUUUAGAGGUUGGCCAGAGAUAUUAUUUCUCCUGCUAGGGGCUUGUUCCCAAACAUCCCUAGGCUAGUGGCAGUGUCCUCCAACCCUAGACGCCCUCUGUCAUCAUCACUGUAGCAUCACCACCCUCCAACGUCAGAUGCCCCAACUUGGCACAUUCCUACCUGUAGUAAGACAGCAGGCCGUUGCUGAGCACGAACCAGCGCCGCUGGUAGCCUUUCAGGUUUGAAAAUUACCACGAAACUGCUUUUGUUUUACAAAUGUUGGGCCUUUUACAGAACUCACCUCCUACCUUUCCAACAACUCUAAUAUAAGCUCCAGGAUGUCAGAAAUUUUUAUCAGAUUUAUUUCACUGCUCUGCCAUCAAGGCCUAGAAGAAGACUCUUCAUAUAAUAUGACUUCAAUGAAUACCUGUUAAAUAAAGUCUUCUUUCUAGUUC